rnacentral:tRNA from 1 species
ACUGUAUAGUCUAGUGGACAAGGCGUCCGCUAAGAGGUCGGAAGGCGCAAGUUCGAUUCCUGCUGCGAGUA